GUCCAUGAACUGGCGGCUGGGUGUAGAGCAGGAUGACGGCCGUGGACAAGAGGGAUCCCAGGGGGCCGUGUCCUGGAAGGCCGCAGAGAGAGAGGCAGUCCUCAUGGGUCACCUCCAUAGACCUGGACAGCAGAGCAUCUUUGUCCCUCUGCUCAGCGGAGAGACGGCGAACAUCUUCCAGCAGUGAAGGCGGCGCCUCCAGGAAACACGGAUUGAGACCCCGCCGGUGACCGAGGUUUGGGGCGUGGCCAGUCUGCUCGGACCAAUCAGAGCUCAGGGUGAACUUUGUAAACAAGUCUUCCACGCUGUUUUCUGGAUCGUUGCUUUUCUUUUACUACGGAGAGACGCCGCGGUGCUGCAGCCCGGGAGGAGACGAGCUACAAACAGACGUCAAUACAGAUGUUGAAAUCAAACCUCACUCACAAAAUAUUUCUGAAGACCAGAGGAAUAAUGCAGAGCAGGGAGAAGCAGCACCAGAAAGCCUGCUGUGACCCACAUCACACCUCAUGCUGGGGUCACGGUCUUUCCUGGCACACCUGAGUGACAUCACAAGCAGAGCUGAUGAGACCAGCAGCAGGUGGAGAAGUCCAAGUUUUCAGCGUGUGCCAGCCAGUCAGCUGAGAGGGAGGAAAACAAGAUCUGAGGCCGGCAACGCGUCAGAACUGGGACAAAGACGAGAGAGAAAACAAGGGAGAGCCCCGCUGAAUGACAGAGAUAGGAACCAAUGCAGAAAAGUGGCGCCGAGUGCGGAAGAUGUUGCUUUGAAGCUCGUUCCAGGUGUUUGUGGAUUGCAAAUAUGGCAAAGUAAGAUAGCAGGCAGAGGCAGGAUGAGGCCAGACGUAGGUAAUGACAGGUGUAUUACAGCCAGGUAACUCUGAUUCAGCCUCCCUUUGAUAUCCUGAUCAUCCAGCUGAGUCAUGUAUGAAUGAAAAAAAUCACUUUAUUAUUCAGAUUGUUGUGUCUGAUUCUCUUUCUUCAUCAAAUUAAACUGGAUGUUCUCCUAAAG
ensembl:lncRNA